UACGGAGGGGUUAGCGUUGUUCGGAAUGACUGGCGUAAAGCGCGCGUAGGCGGAUCAUCAAGUCGGGGGUGAAAUCCCGGGGCUCAACCCCGGAAUGGCCUUCGAGACUGGUGGUCUUGAGUUCGAGAGAGGUGAGUGGAAUUCCGAGUGUAGAGGUGAAAUUCGUAGAUAUUCGGAGGAACACCAGUGGCGAAGGCGGCUCACUGGCUCGACACUGACGCUGAGGU
rnacentral:rRNA from 1 species